UGGGCGANCCUGAUGGAGCACGCCGCGUGCAGGAUGAAGGCCUUCGGGUUGUAAACUGCUUUUANNAGUGAGGAAUAUGACGGUAACUUAUGAAUAAGGAUCGGCUAACUACGUGCCAGCAGCCGCGGUCAUACGUAGGAUCCGAGCGUUAUCCGGAGUGACUGGGCGUAAAGAGUUGCGUAGGUGGUUUGUUAAGUAGAUAGUGAAAUCUGGCGGCUCAACCGUACAGGCUAUUAUCUAAACUGACAAACUCGAGAGUGGUAGAGGUUACUGGAAUUUCUAGUGUAGGAGUGAAAUCCGUAGAUAUUAGAAGGAACACCAAUGGCGUAGGCAGGUAACUGGACCAUUUCUGACACUAAGGCACGAAAGCGUGGGGAGCGAACCGGAUUAGAUACCCGGGUAGUCCACGCCGUAAACGAUGGAUACUAGCUGUUGAAGGUAUCGACCCCUUCAGUAGCGAAGCUAACGCGUUAAGUAUCCCGCCUGUGGAGUACGGUCGCAAGACUAAAACAUAAAGGAAUUGACGGGGACCCGCACAAGCGGUGGAUCGUGUUCUUUAAUUCGAUGCUAAACGAAGAACCUUACCAGGGCUUGACAUCCAGGGAAUUUUUGGGAAACCAAUUAGUGCCUUUUGGAACCCUGUGACAGGUGAUGCAUGGCCGUCGUCAGCUCGUGUCGUGAGAUGUUUGGUUAAGUCCAUCAACGAGCGCAACCCUUGUACUUAGUUGAAUUUUUCUAGGUAGACUGCCCCGGUAACGGGGAGGAAGGAGGGGAUGAUGUCAGGUCAAUAUUUCCCUUACGUCCUGGGCUAGAAACACGAUACAAUGGCAAGUACAAUGCGCAGCGAAGCCGCGAGGUGGAGCAAAUCGCAUCAAAGCUUGGUCCCAGUC
rnacentral:rRNA from 1 species